rnacentral:rRNA from 1 species
UACGUAGGGUGCGAGCGUUGUCCGGAAUUAUUGGGCGUAAAGAGCUCGUAGGCGGCUUGUCGCGUCGGCUGUGAAAACCUGGGGCUCAACCCCGGGCCUGCAGCCGAUACGGGCAGACUAGAGUACUGCAGGGGAGACUGGAAUUCCUGGUGUAGCGGUGGAAUGCGCAGAUAUCAGGAGGAACACCGGUGGCGAAGGCGGGUCUCUGGGCAGUAACUGAC